GGAGGGUUGGCCGAGUGGUUGAUGGCACCUCACUGAUAAUGAGGCGUACGGGCCAUAAACCCGUACCGCGGGUUCGAACCCCGCACCCUAUUA
rnacentral:tRNA from 1 species